GGGUGACUGCGUGCCUUUUGCUUAAUGAGUCUGCGAGUUAGUGUCAGUGGCAAGCUUAAGUCCUUAUGGGACGCAGGCGUAGGGAAACCGAGUCCGAAUAGGGCGAUUAAGUUGCUGGCGCUAGACCCGAAACGGAGGUGAUCUACCCAUGACCAGGUUGAAGCUCGAGUAAGAUCGAGUGAAGGACCGAACCGGUGUAUGUUGAAAAAUGCUCGGAUGAGUUGUGGGUAGGAGUGAAAGGCUAAUCAAACCCCGUGAUAGCUGGUUCUCCUCGAAAUGUAUUUAGGUACAGCGUUGCGUGUUGACCCGUGGGGGUAGAGCACUGACAGGGCUAGGGGGCAUACCCGCCUACCGACCCCUAUCAAACUCCGAAUACCACGGGGUAGAGCGCAGCAGUGAGACAGUGGGGGAUAAGCUUCAUUGUCGAAAGGGAAACAGCCCAGAUCAGCAGCUAAGGUGCCAAAAUAAUUCUAAGUGGAAAGGAAGUGAAGUUUCAUAGACAGUGAGGAUGUUGGCUUAGAAGCAGCCACCAUUUAAAAAAAGCGUAAUAGCUUACUCAUCGAGAGACUUUGCGCCGAAAAUGAUUGGCGAUUAAGAAUUAUACCGAAGCUCUGGGUGUCAUAUUUAUAUGGCGCGGUAGAGGAGCAUUCUAAGGGCAUUGAAGGGUGAGAGUAAUUGAACCUGGAGCGCUUAGAAGAGAGUAUGCAGACAUGAGUAACGAUAAGAGAGGUGAAAUCCCUCUCCGCCGUAAACCCAAGGUUUCCAGGGCAACGUUUUUCGUCCCUGGGUUAGUCAGGACCUAAGGUGAAGCCGAUGGGCGUAGCCGAUGGACACAAGGUUAAUAUUCCUUGACUUCCGACCCUUAAACUAGAAGGACGCUAAAAAUGAGAUUAUUAGGUGAUUGAAUUCCGAGAUGAUGGCUUUGCCUGAUUCGUUUAAUUGAUUGGAUAGCCAAGAAAAGUUCUAGUGUAUGCUAAGGAACCUGUACCGUAAACCGACACAGGUGGGUGGGUAGAAUAUACCAAGGCGCAAGAGUGAAACCUGGUUAAGGAACUCGGCAAAAUGGCCCCGUAACUUCGGGAUAAGGGGUGCCAAAAUUAUUUUGGCCGCAGUGAACUGGCCCAACCGACUGUUUAUCAAAAACACAGCAUUCUGCUAAGGUGUAAGCCUAAGUAUAGGAUGUGACACGUGACCAAUGCCAAAAGAUUAAGGUAAGAGGUGCAAGCUUCGAACCCAAGUCCUGGUGAAUGUCGGCCGUAACUAUAACGGUCCUAAGGUAGCGAAAUUCCUUGUCGGGUAAGUUCCGACCUGCACGAAUCGUGCAACGAGUUGGGCGCUGUCUCAACCAGGUGCUCAGUGAAAUUGUAAAACCGGUGAAGAUGCCGGUUACCCGCAGAAGGACGGAAAGACCCUAUGGACCUUAACUGUAAGCUAUUAUUGUAUUUCUGGUUUCAAUACUCAGAAUAAGUGGGAGACUUUGAAACUCAUCUUUAGGGAUGAGUGGAGUCACCAGUGAGAUACCACCUUUUGGUAUCGGGAAUACUAACCUCAUGCCUGCCAACAGGCUGGGGGACCGUGGUAGCCGGUCAGUUUUACUGGGGCGGUAUCCUCCCAAAGAGUAACGGAGGAGUGCGAAGGUGAGUUCAGCACGGUCAGCAACCGUGUGUCGAGUGCAAAGGCAUAAACUCGCCUAACUGUGAGACCUACAAGUCGAGCAGAGACGAAAGUCGGUCUUAGUGAUCCGGCGGUAGAAAGUGGAAUUGCCGUCGCUCAUCGGAUAAAAGGUACCCUAGGGAUAACAGGCUGAUCGCGCCCAAGAGUUCAUAUCGACGGCGCGGUUUGGCACCUCGAUGUCGGCUCGUCGCAUCCUGGGGCUGGAGAAGGUCCCAAGGGUUUGGCUGUUCGCCAAUUAAAGCGGCACGCGAGCUGGGUUCAGAACGUCGCGAGACAGUUCGGUCCUCUAUCCUCUGUGGGCGUAGGAAAAUUGAGGGGUUCACUUCCUAGUACGAGAGGACCGGAAGUGACAUACCUCUGGUGUACCUGUUGUUCUGUCAAGAGCAUCGCAGGGUAGCUAAGUAUGGCACGGAUAAGCGCUGAAAGCAUCUAAGCGCCAAGCCAUUCCCAAGAUUAAUUUUCCCUAAAGGAUCGUGGAAGACUACCACGUUGAUAGGAUCAUUGUGUAAGUGCAGUAAUGCAUUCAGCUUAUGAUUACUAAUCAUCCGUUCGACUUAUUU
rnacentral:rRNA from 1 species